GGGUUGUGAGGUUAAGCGACUAAGCGUACACGGUGGAUGCCUAGGCAAUCAGAGGCGAUGAAGGACGUGCUAAUCUGCGAAAAGCGUCGGUAAGGUGAUAUGAACCGUUAUAACCGACGAUGUCCGAAUGGGGAAACCCAGUGCAAUUCGUUGCACUAUCGUUUGAUGAAUCCAUAGUCAAACGAGGCGAACCGGGGGAACUGAAACAUCUCAGUACCCCGAGGAAAAGAAAUCAACCGAGAUUCCCCUAGUAGCGGCGAGCGAACGGGGAGCAGCCCAGAGUCUUAAUCAGCAUCAGCAUCAGGAGAACGGUCUGGAAAGGCCGGCAAUAAAGGGUGAUAGCCCCGUAUCCGAAGGUGUUGGUGUUGUGAACUCGACGAGUAGGGCGGGACACGUGUUAUCCUGUCUGAAUAUGGGGGGACCAUCCUCCAAGGCUAAAUACUCCUGAUUGACCGAUAGUGAACCAGUACCGUGAGGGAAAGGCGAAAAGAACCCCGGCGAGGGGAGUGAAAUAGAACCUGAAACCGUGUACGUACAAGCAGUGGGAGCCUUGGGUGACUGCGUACCUUUUGUAUAAUGGGUCAGCGACUUAUAUUCUGUAGCAAGGUUAACCGAAUAGGGGAGCCGUAGGGAAACCGAGUCUUAACUGGGCGAAUGAGUUGCAGGGUAUAGACCCGAAACCCGGUGAUCUAGCCAUGGGCAGGUUGAAGGUUGGGUAACACUAACUGGAGGACCGAACCGACUAAUGUUGAAAAAUUAGCGGAUGACUUGUGGCUGGGGGUGAAAGGCCAAUCAAACCGGGAGAUAGCUGGUUCUCCCCGAAAGCUAUUUAGGUAGCGCCUCGUGAACUCAUCUUCGGGGGUAGAGCACUGUUUCGGCUAGGGGGUCAUCCCGACUUACCAACCCGAUGCAAACUACGAAUACCGAAGAAUGUUAUCACGGGAGACACACGGCGGGUGCUAACGUUCGUCGUGAAGAGGGAAACAACCCAGACCGCCAGCUAAGGUCCCAAAGUCAUGGUUAAGUGGGAAACGAAGUGGGAAGGCUCAGACAGCCAGGAUGUUGGCUUAGAAGCAGCCAUCAUUUAAAGAAAGCGUAAUAGCUCACUGGUCGAGUCGGCCUGCGCGGAAGAUGUAACGGGGCUAAACCAUGCACCGAAGCUGCGGCAGCGACAUGUAAAUGUUGUUGGGUAGGGGAGCGUUCUGUAAGCCUGUGAAGGUGUGCUGCGAGGCAUGCUGGAGGUAUCAGAAGUGCGAAUGCUGACAUAAGUAACGAUAAUGCGGGUGAAAAACCCGCACGCCGGAAGACCAAGGGUUCCUGUCCAACGUUAAUCGGGGCAGGGUGAGUCGACCCCUAAGGCGAGGCAGAAAUGCGUAGUCGAUGGGAAACAGGUUAAUAUUCCUGUACUGGUGAUAAUUGCGAUGGGGGGACGGAGAAGGCUAGGCUGGCCGGGCGACGGUUGUCCCGGUUUAAGGAUGUAGGUGGGUGAAUUAGGCAAAUCCGGUUCGCUAUACACUGAGGUCUGAUGACGAGUCACUACGGUGGCGAAGUAGCUCAUGCCCCGCUUCCAGGAAAAGCCUCUAAGCUCUAGAUUAUCAUUAAUCGUACCCCAAACCGACACAGGUGGUCAGGUAGAGAAUACUCAGGCGCUUGAGAGAACUCGGGUGAAGGAACUAGGCAAAAUGGUGCCGUAACUUCGGGAGAAGGCACGCUGGCACUAGGUGAAGUCCCUUGCGGAUGGAGCUGAAGCCAGUCGCAGAUACCAGCUGGCUGCAACUGUUUAUUAAAAACACAGCACUGUGCAAACACGAAAGUGGACGUAUACGGUGUGACGCCUGCCCGGUGCUGGAAGGUUAAUUGAUGGGGUUAUCCGUAAGGAGAAGCUCUUGAUCGAAGCCCCAGUAAACGGCGGCCGUAACUAUAACGGUCCUAAGGUAGCGAAAUUCCUUGUCGGGUAAGUUCCGACCUGCACGAAUGGCGUAAUGAUGGCCAGGCUGUCUCCACCCGAGACUCAGUGAAAUUGAACUCGCUGUGAAGAUGCAGUGUACCCGCGGCAAGACGGAAAGACCCCGUGAACCUUUACUAUAGCUUGACACUGAACAUUGAGCCUUGAUGUGUAGGAUAGGUGGGAGGCUUUGAAGUGUGGACGCCAGUCUGCAUGGAGCCAACCUUGAAAUACCACCCUUUAAUGUUUGAUGUUCUAACGUUGCCCCAUAAUCUGGGGUGCGGACAGUGUCUGGUGGGUAGUUUGACUGGGGCGGUCUCCUCCCAAAGCGUAACGGAGGAGCACGAAGGUUGGCUAAGCAUGGUCGGACAUCAUGCGGUUAGUGCAAAGGCAUAAGCCAGCUUGACUGCGAGAGUGACGGCUCGAGCAGGUACGAAAGUAGGUCUUAGUGAUCCGGUGGUUCUGAAUGGAAGGGCCAUCGCUCAACGGAUAAAAGGUACUCCGGGGAUAACAGGCUGAUACCGCCCAAGAGUUCAUAUCGACGGCGGUGUUUGGCACCUCGAUGUCGGCUCAUCACAUCCUGGGGCUGAAGUAGGUCCCAAGGGUAUGGCUGUUCGCCAUUUAAAGUGGUACGCGAGCUGGGUUUAGAACGUCGUGAGACAGUUCGGUCCCUAUCUGCCGUGGGCGUUGGAAGAUUGAAAGGGGCUGCUCCUAGUACGAGAGGACCGGAGUGGACGCACCGCUGGUGUUCGGGUUGUCAUGCCAAUGGCACUGCCCGGUAGCUAAGUGCGGAAGAGAUAACCGCUGAAAGCAUCUAAGCGGGAAACUUGCCUUGAGAUGAGUCUUCCCUGACUCUUUAAGGGUCCUAAAGGAACGUUUAAGACGAAGACGUUGAUAGGCUGGGUGUGUAAGCGUAGCGAUACGUUGAGCUAACCAGUACUAAUGAACCGUGAGGCUUAACCUGACAACACCGAAGGUGUUUUAG
rnacentral:rRNA from 1 species